rnacentral:rRNA from 1 species
AGCAGCCGCGGUAAUACGGAGGGUGCAAGCGUUACUCGGAAUCACUGGGCGUAAAGCGCGCGCAGGCGGCUAUUUAAGUUGGAUGUGAAAGCCUACGGCUCAACCGUAGAACUGCAUCCAAAACUAUUUAGCUAGAGUGUGGGAGAGGAAGAUGGAAUUAGUUGUGUAGGGGUAAAAUCCGUAGAGAUAACUAGGAAUACCAAAAGCGAAGGCAAUCUUCUGGAACACUACUGACGCUGAGGCGCGAAAGCGUGGGGAGCAAACAGGAUUAGAUACCCUGGUAGUCCACGCAGUAAACGAUGAAUGUUAGUCGUCGGGGGCCUCGUGUCUUCGGUGAUGCAGCUAACGCAUUAAACAUUCCGCCUGGGGAGUACGGUCGCAAGAUUAAAACUCAAAGGAAUAGACGGGGACCCGCACAAGUGGUGGAGCAUGUGGUUUAAUUCGAAGAUACGCGAAGAACCUUACCUAGCCUUGACAUAUAUUAGAACUCCGCAGAGAUGUAGAGGUGCCUUCGGGAGCUUUUAUACAGGUGCUGCACGGCUGUCGUCAGCUCGUGUCGUGAGAUGUUGGGUUAAGUCCCGCAACGAGCGCAACCCUCGUCACUAGUUACUAACGGUUCGGCCGAGGACUCUAGUGAGACUGCCUUCGUAAGGAGGAGGAAGGUGAGGACGACGUCAAGUCAUCAUGGCCCUUACGGCUAGGGCAACACACGUGCUACAAUGGCCAGGACAAUGAGAAGCGAUACCGCGAGGUGGAGCAAAUCUAUAAACCUGGUCUCAGUUCGGAUUGUAGUCUGCAACUCGACUACAUGAAGCUGGAAUCACUAGUAAUCGUAGAUCAGCUAUGCUACGGUGAAUACGUUCCCGGGUCUUGUACACACCGCCCG